rnacentral:hammerhead_ribozyme from 1 species
AUCCAGAUGACGAGUCCCAAAUAGAACGAAACACGCGUCCUGGAU